CGAUCUGUGCCGCUGUGCGUCGCCGCCUCCUCGUCUCUGCGUCUGUGCCGCUGUCACGCUGUGCGUCGCCGCCUGCGAUCUGCGUGGCCGCGUGGCUACGGUGCGGCGCUGCGCUAGUGCGCUUGUGCAGGGCAGGGCCACAGCCAGGAGCCAGUUCGGUGCAAGGGCCAUCACCCAUCAGCCAUCAGCCAACAUCCAUCAGUGAUCUGUCCUGCAGGCUGCAGUUCUGCUGCUGUCCGGUGCGCCACCAUUUGUGAUACGUGCAGGUCUAAAUCAAUGCGAAUCUGGCCGGCUGCUGAUCCAUUGACCAUUGCGAAUCUGCAUCCAGGUUACUAG
rnacentral:lncRNA from 1 species